UACGGGGGGGGCAAGCGUUGUUCGGAAUUACUGGGCGUAAAGGGCUCGUAGGCGGCCAACUAAGUCGGAUGUGAAAUCCCCAGGCUUAACCUGGGAACUGCAUCCGAGACUGCAUGGCUAGAGUAUGGGAGAGGGAAGUGGAAUUUCAGGUGUAGCGGUGAAAUGCGUAGAUAUCUGAAGGAACAUCAGUGGCGAAAGCGACUUCCUGGACCAAUACUGACGCUCAUGUGCGAAAGCGUGGGGAGCAAACAGG
rnacentral:rRNA from 1 species